rnacentral:sRNA from 12 species
CCUGCCAAGCCUCUUCACCAUGCUUAAAUUGGCAGGU